GUCACGGUCGGAUUCGCGAAGGGAACUUCGUUGUUUUCAUCGAGGAUCUUGGUUCGAGGUAACGAUCUACAGACGAAAAUAAUCUCUUAGGAACGGUGAAAUUUUCCCUAUCGUAAACUGAAACCAUUCCGAGGCAGACGAUAUAGGAGAGGAGAAGCGACGAUAGCGAACGUGGACAUUGAGCGUGAAAACUGAAGAAAGAAUAGAACGUUAAGAAUAUUUUUAAGUGGCUUUGGAUAAUUCUUUUACUGCCAAAAUCAUUUUUAAAAUUAAAAAUGAUGAUGAUAUUAUUGUAUAUCAUUCAUAAAUACCAUGUAAAAUGAUUGUAAAGUUUACGAAUAAUUACUCUGUUUU